ensembl:misc_RNA Metazoa_SRP Metazoan signal recognition particle RNA
GCUGGGUGUGGUGGCGCACACCUGUAAUCCAGCUAUUCAGGAGGCUGAGGCAAGAGAAUCACUUGAGCUUAGGAAGCAGAGGUUGCAGUGAGCUGAGAUUGCACCACUGCACUCCUGCCUGGGUGACAGAGUGAGACUCUGUCUCAA